GGUCAUGUAGCUCAGUGGUUAGAGCGAUGAUCUUAUGAGCCGUAGGUCGUGGGUUCGACCCUGUACAGUAAUGAACG
rnacentral:tRNA from 1 species